GAUGAACGCUGGCGGCGUGCCUAAUACAUGCAAGUCGAGCGGUAAGGUCCCUUCGGGGAUACACGAGCGGCGGACGGCUGAGUAACACGUAGGAACGUACCCCAAAGUGAGGGAUAAGCACCAGAAAUGGUGUCUAAUACCGCAUGUGCUCUAAGGAGUAAAGCUUCGGCGCUUUGGGAACGGCCUGCGUCCGAUUAGCUAGUUGGUGAGGUAAUAGCUCACCAAGGCGACGAUCGGUAGCUGGUCUGAGAGGAUGAUCAGCCAGACUGGGACUGAGACACGGCCCAGACUCCUACGGGAGGCAGCAGUAGGGAAUUUUCCACAAUGGGCGAAAGCCUGAUGGAGCAACGCCGCGUGCAGGAUGAAUGCCUUCGGGUUGUAAACUGCUUUUAUAUGUGACGAUUAUGACGGUAACAUAUGAAUAAGGAUCGGCUAACUCCGUGCCAGCCGCCGCGGUAA
rnacentral:rRNA from 1 species